AAGCAUAUAUCGCUCAAAAAUGGGAGUAAAUAAAAUAAUCGGACUCCUACCUGCAGCUUCACCGUGGCGAAGAGCCGAGCGAUCAAAAUCGGCGAUUAUGGCGACGGCAGCCGGAUUGACGUACUCCUGCUUUUCUGUUAAAGCUUCAACCAAUACUUACUCCAACCGCAAGAAACUCCGCCGUCCGCAAAACGUAGAUGGAGAGUUUUUCGUAGACACCACGUGCAUAGAUUGUGAUACAUGUCGUUGGAUGGCUCCGGAAACAUUCAAUCGUCAGGGUAGUAUGUCGGCAGUGUUUAAACAGCCCGCACGCGAGGAAGAACGACUGAAAGCCCUUCAGGCAUUGCUUUCAUGCCCAACAAACUCGAUCCACACAGAACAACCUCCUCGCAACAUUUUACAAGUUCAUAAGACCUUCCCUAUUCCAAUCAACGAGCAGAGAAUUCAGGGAGUGUAUCAUUGUGGUUUCCAUUCUGAAAAAUCAUUCGGCGCAGCAUCCUACUUUAUCACACGGCCACAAGGAAAUAUUCUAAUAGACAGCCCUCGAUACACAGAGCAACUGGCCAGCAAUAUCAAGAAGAUGGGCGGGGCGAAAUACAUGUUUCUUACUCACAAGGACGACAUUGCAGACCACGAUAAAUGGUCCAAAGAAUUGGGUUGCCAAAGGAUUUUUCAUUCCGAAGAAGUAUCUCCUCGUACAUCCGAUGUCGAAAUCAAGCUAGAAGGGAACGGUCCGUGGAACAUAGACGACGACAUUGCACUUAUACACACCCCAGGUCACACAGAAGGAUCGGUCUGCUUACUUGACAAGACGAGGAAGGUGCUCUUUGUCGGAGACCAUCUUCUGGUUAAUGAAGACGGCGAAUUGAGCAUUUCCGAGCACUACAACUGGUUCUCAGUUCCGAUACAAUUGAAAAGCGUCGAAAAGCUACUCGACUUAGAUUUCGAGUGGAUAUUGCCAGGGCACGGAAGGAGAGCUGAAUUUAGAGACGCAGAGGAAAAGAAUCAAGUGUUACGAGCUCUAUUAGAUGCCAAAGGAUUUCGAUCCUAGAAAGACAAAGUUUGAUGACCUAUCAACGAAAAGAAGCAGUGCAGGUCUCUUUGCAGUUACUUCAGGUUUAAAUUCAUUCAAUCAUGACCACAGAUACAUCCAAAUGGACGCGAUCAUCAUCAAUUACAUGGAACCGUGACGAGGAGGAGGAGGUGAGGAUGGAGACGAAUCGCGGAAGAGUAGUUCAAUUUCGUGAGGAUCUGCCAUUGCACUUCCGCUCCUCCUCCCCCAGCGCCGCCGCAGUCCGCCGCGUGGAUGAGGAAAACACACAGCACUGCAACCACCAGCAAUCUUCCACCAGAAUUCAGAUUUGUCAUACACAUGUGGUUUUCCUAACAGCAGUUCAGAUUUCGGGAGUGGGAAAGAAGCCGAAGUUAGGGUUUGAAAGGGGCUAAUCGGUGACGACAGAGGUUGUUGUACUGUUUCUUUUAAGUGUUGUACGUUGUUGCUACUGUUGCAGUUUGGUUUUUUUAUUUUUUAAUUAACGUAAAAUUAAAUUUUUAAUUUGAA